rnacentral:rRNA from 1 species
GAUGAACGCUGGCGGCGUGCCUAAUACAUGCAAGUCGAGCGAACGGACGCUAAGCUUGCUUCUCUCAUGUUAGCGGCGGACGGGUGAGUAACACGUGGAUAACCUACCUAUAAGACUGGGAUAACUUCGGGAAACCGGAGCUAAUACCGGAUAAUAUUUUGAACCGCAUGGUUCAAAAGUGAAAGACGGUCUUUCUGUCACGUAUAGAUGGAUCCGCGCUGCAUUAGCUAGUUGGUGAGGUAACGGCUUACCAAGGCAACGAUGCAUAGCCGACCUGAGAGGGGGAUCGGCCACUCUGGAGCUGAGACACGAUCCAGGCUCCUACGGGAGGCAGCAGUAGGGAAUCUUCCGCAAUGGGCGAAAGCCUGACGGAGCAACGCAGCGUGAGUGAUGAAGGGCUUCGGAUCGUAAAACGCUGUUAUUAGGGAAGAACAUAUGUGUAAGUAACGGUGCACAUCUGGACGGUACCUAAUCAGAAAGCCACGGCAAACUACGU